UGGAGAGAUCCCUACUUGCAACAGAUCCUUGAUGUUCCACUGUGGUACUGUAUGCUUCCUGUUCCUUCAGCUCAACAGAGAUAAAAAUGCUGGAGACGACUAGUACCAACAAGCAGCCUGUGCCUUGAACUGCUCAGUAAAUAGUGACAAAGGUUACCUGUAAGCCUCUGGAGAAGCACGGAUUGUGGCUGUAAACCAAUGGGAUUUUGUCGCACACCAUCACCAGGAGCCUCAGACACCUGGAGAAGAAUCUCAACAGCCUCAGACUGGCUGCUGAAUCAAAGGUGAAAAGAGAUUGUUUGAUGUCUGAUAUAUAUUAUCUAAAUCACAGAAUCACAGAAUAUG